UACGUAGGGUGCGAGCGUUGUCCGGAAUUAUUGGGCGUAAAGAGCGUGUAGGCGCCAGACAGGUCCGUUGUGAAAACUAGAGGCUUAACCUCUAGACGUCGAUGGAAACCGUCUGGCUAGAGUCCGGAAGAGGAGAAUGGAAUUCCUGGUGUAGCGGUGAAAUGCGCAGAUAUCAGGAAGAACACCCGUGGCUAAGGCGGUUCUCUAGUACGGUACUGACGCUGAGACGCGAAAGCGUGGGGAGCGAACAGG
rnacentral:rRNA from 1 species